rnacentral:tRNA from 1 species
UCCCGUGUGGCUCACUUGGUAGAGCAUGACGCUUGCAACGCCAGGGUUGUUGGUUUGAUUCCCAUGGGUG